ACAGGGAGACAGGUGGUGCAUGGUUGUCGUCAGCUCGUGUCGUGAGAUGUUGGGUUAAGUCCGCUAACGAGCGCAACCCUCGCUGUGUGUUACAAGUGUCACACGGAACUGCCGGUCAUAAACCGGAGGAAGGUGGGGAUGACGUCAAGUCAGCAUGGCCUUUAUAUCCUGGGCUACACACACGCUACAAUGGGAAGGGACAAUAGGUUGCGAAGCCGCGAGGCGGAGCCAAUCCAGCAAAACUUCCCUCAGUUCAGAUUGCAGGCUGCAACUCGCCUGCAUGAAGUUGGAGUUGCUAGUAAACGCAGGUCAGCCAUACUGCGUUGAAUACGUUCCCGGGGCUU
rnacentral:rRNA from 1 species